UACGGGGGGGGCAAGCGUUGUUCGGAAUUACUGGGCGUAAAGGGCUCGUAGGUGGCCAACUAAGUCAGACGUGAAAUCCCUCGGCUUAACCGGGGAACUGCGUCUGAUACUGGAUGGCUUGAGUUCGGGAGAGGGAUGCGGAAUUCCAGGUGUAGCGGUGAAAUGCGUAGAUAUCUGGAGGAACACCGGUGGCGAAGGCGGCAUCCUGGACCGGUAUUGACGCUGAGGCGCGAAAGCUAGGGGAGCAAACAGG
rnacentral:rRNA from 1 species